CAGACUCAUGGAUCGAUUUAGAAUUUUGGUUUUCCAUAAGGUAAGAAUAAAGAAAAUAAAUAAAGGAUAUAAAAGAUAAGAAAAGAUAAAAGUAUAGAUACAAGCUAAUAGUAAGACACGGGUUAUCUCAGCAACCGUCUUUCUCCCCAGCAACGGCGCCAGGAAUGCUUGUUUAUAUUUGGGAACGCAAUAAGGAAUUGAUCCGCAAGCGCACGGAUAUCGGUGAGCACUUCACCCGGGAAAUUAUCCAGAGUAUCGUAUUUAUUUUUUUACCACUAGGAGAAAGAGUGCAUCUGACUAACCGGUCUAUUACUACUAACCUUUAGGCACAAAGAAUGUCUUUCGAUGUGAGUGAUAAAUAGAGAAGACUGCAACCGUAGUCUCCUUCUAACCUUGGUAAAGAUGAUCUACUGUUCUAAUGGGGAGGCUAACGGAAUCUAG
rnacentral:lncRNA from 1 species